rnacentral:rRNA from 1 species
CCUACGGGAGGCAGCAGUGGGGAAUUUUCCGCAAUGGGCGAAAGCCUGACGGAGCAACGCCGCGUGGGUGAUGAAGUCUUUCGGGACGUAAAACCCUUUCAGCAGGGACGAACAAAAUGACGGUACCUGCAGAAGAAGCAUCGGCUAACUACGUGCCAGCAGCCGCGGUAAUACGUAGGAUGCGAGCGUUGUCCGGAUUUAUUGGGCGUAAAGCGAACGUAGGCGGUUUCUUAAGUUUGGUCUUAAAGACCGGGGCUCAACCCCGGGAGUGGACUGAAUACUGGGAGACUAGAGGAUGUUAGAGGAAAGUGGAAUUCCAAGUGUAGCGGUGAAAUGCGUGGAUAUUUGGAGGAACACCAGUGGCGAAAGCGGCUUUCUGGGACAUUUCUGACGCUGAGGUUCGAAAGCUCGGGGAGCAAACAGGAUUAGAUACCCUGGUAGUCCGAGCCGUAAACGAUGGACACUAGGUGUCGGGGGUAUCGACCCCCCCGGUGCCGUAGCUAACGCGUUAAGUGUCCGCCUGGGAGUACGGUCGCAAGACUGAAACUUAAAUGAAUUGACGGCUGAGAGNGCGACGACGACGACGAGGGAAGGUAG